rnacentral:tRNA from 1 species
GGCUCGCUGGUCUAGGGAUAUGAUUCUCGCUUUGAGAGCGAGAGGUCCCGGGUUCAAAUCCCGGAUGAGCCC